rnacentral:rRNA from 1 species
AACGAACGCUGGCGGCAUGCCUAACACAUGCAAGUCGAACGAGACCUUCGGGUCUAGUGGCGCACGGGUGCGUAACGCGUGGGAAUCUGCCCUUCGGUUCGGAAUAACUCAGGGAAACUUGAGCUAAUACCGGAUAAUGACUUCGGUCCAAAGAUUUAUCGCCGAGGGAUGAGCCCGCGUAGGAUUAGCUUGUUGGUGAGGUAAAGGCUCACCAAGGCGACGAUCCUUAGCGGUCUGAGAGGAUGAUCAGCCACACUGGGACUGAGACACGGCCCAGACUCCUACGGGAGGCAGCAGUGGGGAAUAUUGGACAAUGGGCGAAAAGCCUGAUCCAGCAAUGCCGCGUGAGUGA